UUACAGACAACGUUUUAUUUUUUUUUUAUUCUUUCCCACUAAAAGUGGAAAAGUUUUCCGUGUAAAUGAACUACUUUGCGACUUAUUUUUGUUGCGUUGCCUAGCAACAAGCUAGCGGCACGCGAGACGCGCGUGAACAAGCCGCAGGAGUGAUCGAGGCCGGCUGCACAUGUGAAGCUCGCGUGCUCGGCGACCCGUCUUUUUUGGAUGUAGCCCGUUUUUUGGGCUCCCGGCGUUCUUUUGUGUUCCGUUUGCAUUUCGGCACGGUACAGCAGCUGCACUACUGGACUACAACAAGCUGAUGGCAUCCGGUGGAGCUUCGUACGGCAACGACUGCUGCUUACCUGGUGCCACAACUUUGGAUGAAUGCAGAAGAAGCCCGGAACGAGCAUUUAUAUAGAGCGAAAUAAACAUUUCAUAAUUUCAGAA